GAGAGAGAGAGAGAGAGAAAUCUUCACAUAAAAUCAUCAUGAAAUGAAGAAGAGUCUUAUGAACAGAGAAAGAACCAUGCAUAUUCUCCAUGCUUACCUCUUCAGUUAUUAUUCUCCUUUUCUUUUUUCCUCCAAUAUAUGAUUUUAUAAACAAAAAAUCCAUGCAAAUUCACCUGAUUCGGUUUCAUCGUCUGUGCACUAAAUAUGUAUAAGAUCCAUAUUUCCUUCCAACUCCUUUAGAGCGGGCACAACAAACGCGCGUUUGGAACAGCUACCAGUCGGGUUGCCCGAGGAGCGGUGAGUCCAAACACAUCGCUCGUGUCAAUUUCACUUGGUUUCAUCCCAUCAGGCAACUGCCAUGUAAAACAGUGAAGAAGAUGGGCCACAGCCAAAUCAAGAGAGUAGAGUCCGAGUUGCAUGCCGGGGCAGGAUCUCCGGCCCGAUCCGAAUGGAAUGAACUCGAAAUUGUUUCCUUUAAAAUCAGGCACUCCCUCUUUCAAAAACCUGGAUGGCCUGAAAGUUUCAGGGUCCUCCCAUGAGUUCUUGUCCCUUCCAAUAGCCCAUGCAUUGAUCAUGACCCGAGACUUCGCUGGAAUGUAAUACCCGGCGACCUCUGCCUCCUCGGCCGUCUCAUGUAAGAGAAGUGGGAUUGGUGGGUGAAGUCUUAGAGUUUCUUUGACUGUGCAUUUUAGGUAUGUCAGCUUGUCGAAAUCACUCUCCUCCACGCGCCGCUCUAGACCCACCACAUCGGCAAGCUCUUGCUGGACCUUUUUCAACUCUUCAGGAGCCCUCAUCAACUCCGUCAGGGCCCACUCAAUCGCCGAUGCCACUGUCUCUGUCCCACCAAACAUUACGUCCAUGAUAAUUGCUUUGAUGUUGUCUCGAGUGAGUUUGAAGGAAUUCUGAAGAUCGUCUGAUUCGUUUACUUUAGGCUCAUCGCUGUAGAAAGCUAGCAAAUCAUCCACCAUAUCAGAGUUAUCAUCAGAGACAUUACCCUGCUUACUCUUAUGCAUGUGUUCGUCGAUGAUCAAGUCGAUGAAUCUGUCAAGUGAUUUACGAGCCUUGGCAAGUCUUGAGUUGAGCUUGAGGCCUUGUGGGUCUAUCCAUCCAAGCCAAGGAAUGAAAUCAGCAAUGUUGAAAGCACCAAAAAGCUUGGAGAACUCCUGCAAAAUCUGAAUAAACUCGUCCUGUCCCUCGUUCUUCGAACCGAAAGCAGCCCUAUAAAUAAUAUUCAUGGUUAGAGUAAAAAUCAACUCUCCAACAUUCACUGGCUUCCCUUUGUUGGCCACAACGGUUUUAACCAUAUAAUCAACCUCAUCCCUCACAGAUUCCCAUGACUCAGCCCGUUUACGGCUGAAAAGUUUCAUGACGCAGAGCUUGCGCAUCUGGCGCCAGAAAGGGCCGUAGUGGGCGAAGGCCAUAUCUGCACGGUCAUAUGUGAGAUAACUGAUGGCUAUGGUGGCUGGUCUAUUUGAGAAAAUAUUAUCUUGGACUUGAAGUACUUGGCGAGCUAUCUCAGGAGAAGAAACAGCAAACAUGUGAAUGUUUCCCAUGCGAAGAUGGAAGAGGCCACCAUAUUCUUUAGCUAGUUUAGCUAAACCCCGGUGAGUUAACUGGUCCAUCAUGAGCAGGUUACCUAUAAUUGGCAAGCCUUUAGGCCCUGGAGGAUAUCGCAAUCGUCUACGAAGGAGAGAGAUUAGACCUAGUAGGAAUAGUAAAGGAACAAUAAGGAAAAGAGUGAAGGGUAAAGGUUGCAGAGCUUGGAGAAGAGCUUCCAUGGCGGGUUUCUCUCUCUGCCUGUAUACUGCUAGCUAGUUGAAAUGUUAGCAGCUAGGUUGGGCAAGAUAUUAUGGGGUCUUUAUAUACAUAUUUUCUUCACCGCCUCCUG
rnacentral:misc_RNA from 1 species